AGCGAACGCUAGCGGCGAGCUUAACACAUGCAAGUCGAGCGGAGGGUUUCGGCCCUCAGCGGCGGACGGGUGAGUAACACGUAGGUUACGUGCCCUUUGGUGGGGAAUAACUUAGGGAAACCUGAGCUAAUACCGCAUAUGCCCUUCGGGUGGAAAGUCUUCGGACGCCAGAGGAUCGGCCUGCGGCCCAUUAUUUAAUCCUUGUUGGUGGGGUAACGGCUACCAAGGGUACGAUGGGUAGCUGGUCUGAGAGGAUGAUCAGCCACACUGGGACUGAGACACGGCCCAGACUCCUACGGGAGGCAGCAGUGGGGAAGUAUUGGACAAUGGGGGAAACCCGUGAUCCAGCUACGCCGCGUGGGUGAUGAAGGCCUCGGUUGUAA
rnacentral:rRNA from 1 species